rnacentral:rRNA from 1 species
AUUGAACGCUGGCGGCAUGCUUUACACAUGCAAGUCGGACGGCAGCACAGAGAAGCUUGCUUCUUGGGUGGCGAGUGGCGAACGGGUGAGUAAUAUAUCGGAACGUACCGAGUAAUGGGGGAUAACUAAUCGAAAGAUUAGCUAAUACCGCAUAUUCUCUGAGGAGGAAAGCAGGGGACCUUCGGGCCUUGCGUUAUUCGAGCGGCCGAUAUCUGAUUAGCUAGUUGGUGGGGUAAAGGCCUACCAAGGCGACGAUCAGUAGCGGGUCUGAGAGGAUGAUCCGCCACACUGGGACUGGGACACGGCCCAGACUCCUACGGGAGGCAGCAGUGGGGAAUUUUGGACAAUGGGCGCAAGCCUGAUCCAGCCAUGCCGCGUGUCUGAAGAGGGCCUUCGGGUUGUAAAGGACUUUUGUCAGGGAAGAAAAGGCUGUUGCUAAUACCGACAGCUGAUGACGGUACCUGAAGAAUAAGCACCGGCUAACUACGUG